AUGGAAUGAAAGCAAAGCAAGAAGAAGCUAACAAUCCCAUGUGCAGUAAAUGACUCUCAAAUCAGCUAUAUAUGUUUUGGACCAUACAAAGGAAUACAAAUACCAUAACUACAAAGGAUGGUACCACCCACAUGAUUUUGUAUCAUACAAUUACUUAAAUGCAAGCAUAGAGGUAAGAUUAAGAACAUUGCAAGAUAAUUCUAGACAUAAAAAUUACUUGAUGUUUUCCCUCCUACUUAAGUUACAAGAUCUGACCCGCCAAUGGUUUGGUAGGAAACUUUUCAACCUUAGAUCUAAUGGAUAAAAUAGUAUCACUCAAUUGAGAGGAUUCAAGCUCAAUUUUACUCAAGCGAGCCUUUGUUUCCUCAAUUUGUGCCUUGGUGUCUGCAACUUCUUUUUCUUUUUUAGCUAAAUUCUCCACCAUGGAUUCUAGCUCUUUCCUUGUUGAUUCUAUAAUAUUAUUGCGGUUGGCUUUUGCUUCCUCCGCUGCUUGUUGCUGAUUGUUGAGCUCCAUUGCUUCUGUGAGUCCAUUCACUAUACUCCUCAGCCAA
rnacentral:misc_RNA from 1 species